rnacentral:rRNA from 1 species
UGGGGAAUUUUGGACAAUGGGGGAAACCCUGAUCCAGCCAUCCCGCGUGUGCGAUGAAGGCCUUCGGGUUGUAAAGCACUUUUGGCAGGAAAGAAACGUCAUGGGUUAAUACCCCGUGAAACUGACGGUACCUGCAGAAUAAGCACCGGCUAACUACGUGCCAGCAGCCGCGGUAAUACGUAGGGUGCAAGCGUUAAUCGGAAUUACUGGGCGUAAAGCGUGCGCAGGCGGUUCGGAAAGAAAGAUGUGAAAUCCCAGAGCUCAACUUUGGAACUGCAUUUUUAACUACCGGGCUAGAGUGUGUCAGAGGGAGGGGGAAUUCCGCGUGUAGCAGUGAAAUGCGUAGAUAUGCGGAGGAACACCGAUGGCGAAGGCAGCCUCCUGGGAUAACACUGACGUUAAUGCACGAAAGCGUGGGGAGCAAACAGG